GAAAGGAUCCAAAACUGCUAAACUGCAUUAGUGGAGAAGUUUGUUGAGGCAAGAAACCCGUUGGGAAGGAGAGAAGAUAAUUUACGUUUUCAACCAGGUGCCACAAUCAUGUAGGUGACAACCAGCAUUAUGCUUCUGUGAAGACCCGACACACAGUCGGGUCUUUGUUUGUGCGUGUAUGUCUGUUAUACAUGUACUGAUAUCUGAAACCAAGGAUCUUCAUAUCCCACCAGAUUGAUGAUCCAGAAUAAACCCUAAACCCC